rnacentral:rRNA from 1 species
GACGAACGCUGGCGGCGUGCUUAACACAUGCAAGUCGAACGAUGAAGCCGGAGCUUGCUCUGGUGAAUUAGUGGCGAACGGGUGAGUAACACGUGAGUAACCUGCCCUUGACUCUGGGAUAACUGCGGGAAACUGUAGCUAAUACCGGAUACGACCCUCGGAGGCAUCUCCUGGGGGUGGAAAGAAUUUCGGUCAAGGAUGGGCUCGCGGCCUAUCAGCUAGUUGGUGAGGUAAAGGCUCACCAAGGCGACGACGGGUAGCCGGCCUGAGAGGGUGACCGGCCACACUGGGACUGAGACACGGCCCAGACUCCUACGGGAGGCAGCAGUGGGGAAUAUUGCACAAUGGGCGCAAGCCUGAUGCAGCAACGCCGCGUGAGGGAUGACGGCCUUCGGGUUGUAAACCUCUUUUAGCAGGGAAGAAGCGAAAGUGACGGUACCUGCAGAAAAAGCACCGGCUAACUACGUGCCAGCAGCCGCCGUAA